GAUGAACGCUGGCGGCGUGCCUAAUACAUGCAAGUCGAGCGAACAGACGAGGAGCUUGCUCCUCUGACGUUAGCGGCGGACGGGUGAGUAACACGUGGAUAACCUACCUAUAAGACUGGGAUAACUUCGGGAAACCGGAGCUAAUACCGGAUAAUAUAUCGAACCGCAUGGUUCAAUAGUGAAAGACGGUUUUGCUGUCACUUAUAGAUGGAUCCGCGCCGCAUUAGCUAGUUGGUAAGGUAACGGCUUACCAAGGCGACGAUGCGUAGCCGACCUGAGAGGGUGAUCGGCCACACUGGAACUGAGACACGGUCCAGACUCCUACGGGAGGCAGCAGUAGGGAAUCUUCCGCAAUGGGCGAAAGCCUGACGGAGCAACGCCGCGUGAGUGAUGAAGGUCUUCGGAUCGUAAAACUCUGUUAUUAGGGAAGAACAACUGUGUAAGUAACUAUGCACGUCUUGACGGUACCUAAUCAGAAAGCCACGGCUAACUACGUG
rnacentral:rRNA from 1 species